UGCUACACAAUCUGAUGAUGACAAAAUGAUAUUGGAUAGCUACUGCAAGGUCAAGAAAACUGCUAAGAACAUCUUUAAUUGGUCUUUUAUUUUUAAUCAUAUGGUCCUAGUUACAAUGCAUCCAUUUUAAUUGUAUAUUUUUAUUUGAAAUAAAUCUAUGUAGUUACCUUUGGUUGCCUGGGACAUUCGAUGGAUAAUCUCUGCAACUGGUCUGAGGUAUGGCUACAAGAGAACAGAUCGGAGCAGCAGGUCGAACGGCUCAACCUCUUCAUUAAAGAAGAAAUAAUGCUGCAGCCACAGCCACACAUUGACUUGUUCGUUAGAUGAGAAUUUAACUUAAAAAAUCAGAACUGGUAAUGUCCCAUAUAUACUCAAAAUUGGCUAACUGCCUCAUUCUGCAGCUCUCUGGCUGAAAGAAACACUGUUAAAAAAGAAUAAAACAUCAGCUUCCUAUCAGAAGGAAGAUACCAGACACAAACUCAUCGCCAAGAAAAAGUCGACAUUAAAAACAGAAGUCUCCCGGCUACUCUUUAGAAAUAAGUUUAGAUCUGUUUGCCUACUCCUUCAGCUCAGCCUAUCCAACCUGUUCCCUCUGUAAAUGCACACUAUUUCAACAACCAACUGGAAUGAGCCCCACCCCUCCCUGUCCUCAUACACACUGUUCAAGAACUGCUCAAUAUCUGGAAAAGAACUGCUGCUGCAUUGCUUUGAGAAACAACAGGGAGCAAAUUACUGGACGGAUUCUUUAACUUACCAAUCAGAACUGCUGACCUUUUAUGACUCUACGAUUCAAGAAGUCUGCCAAACAGUCACAGUAAGAAUAAUCUACUGGUUUUACUUCUAUGUUAUAGAUUUACAGAAUUGUUUUCUAUCUUAUUAUUCGAUCUAAAAUACAAAAACAUAGGCAUGUGUAUUUUUUUUAAAACAAAACUUAGUAGGUGAUAAAAAUCUUUUGAGUAUUGCUGGGAGAGGGCAGGACGGUGGUUGAUAUGCAAAGUAAAAAAAUUCCCUGUGAAUACCGUAGUUAAACUUGAGAACUAUGGAGUGAUAAAAUUCUAUAGCAAAAAUAGGGGUGUAAGUAAUGAUGGAAUAAAUAAGCAAGAUAAUCCAAGAAGACCCCUGCUAUCAUAAACGUUAGAAGAGUUUUAAUGAAAAGGGCAUGUGGAUACAUAUAGGUAUGGACAACA